AGUAGAGCCUGACUGUGGGAGAACCGAAUUACAGGAAGGAUAUAAAUAAGGUUGAAAGAGUGCAUUGAAGGUUUACAAGGAUGUUGCCGGGACUUGAGAAACCGUUACAGAGAAAGGUUGAAUAGGUUAGGACUUUAUUCCCUGGAGCGUAGAAGAAUGAAGAGACUUGAUAGAGAGCCACACCACCGCCUAUGCCUUCCUGCCUGUCCUUUCGAUACAAAGUAUAUCCUUCAAUGUUCAGCUUCCAACUAUGGCCUUUUACCAAUGACUCAGUGAUGCCCACAGUGGCAUACUGACCAAUCUCUAAUCACACCACAAGUUCAUCCACCUUAUUCCAAAUGAGUGACGUGCAUCACAGCAUGAUAUGGAGGCUCUAGUGCAAAAAAUUGCAAAAAGCUGCAGAGGGUUGUAGACACAGUCAGCUCCAUCACUGGCACAGCCCUCCCACCAUCAAGAUCAUCCUCAAGAGGCAGUACCUUAAGAAGGCAGCGUCCAUCAUUAAAGAUCCUCACCAUCCGAGACAUGUCUUCUUCUCAUUACUGCCAUUGGAGAGCUGGUACAAGCGUCUGAAGACACACACUCAAUAAUUCAGAAACGUUCUUCUCCUCUACCAUCAGAUUUCUGAAUGAUCCAAGAACCCAUGAACACACAUUGCCUUUUUUGUGUUAUAUAUUUUUGUAAUGUAUAAUCAUUUUAUGCCUUGCAUUGUACUGCUGCCACAAAACAAGUUUUCACAACAUACAUUAGUGAUAAUAAACAUGAUUCUGACCCUUGAAAGGAAUAAUGCUCACUUUGUUAACAUGCUUCUGCUACAGAAACUCCAUUGCAUGGCAUAGUGGUGCAGCGAGUAGUACCACUGCCUAGCACUCCAGUGAACUGGAUUUGAUCCUGACCUCUGGGGCUGUAUGGAGUUUGCAUUCUUGCUAAAAUUGCGUUCCCUUAAGAUGCAAAGAAUAGAGGACUCUGCACAAUUUAUCAUGGGCACUUCUCUCCCCUCAAUAAAGCAACAGCUGUUAUCAAAGAUCACCACCUUCUGAGACACACCAUCUUCUUGCAUUCUGCAGAAAGCACAGAAUCAUAAACAUGAGGAAGUCUAGAAAUCUAAAGCAACACACACAAAAUGCUAGAGGAACUUCACGGCCCAAAACGUUAACUAUCUAUUAAUUUCCAUAGAUGAUGUCAGACCUGUUGAGUUCUCCUUCUACAUUUUGUGAGUGGUGUGUGUGUUACUUAGGAGGUACAGAAGCCUGAAGUCCGCCACCACCAGAUUCAGAAAUUUGUUUAUUAACCAGCCAGGAAAAUUCCUGUCACUACAGUUAGCAACACUAUGACCACUUUGCAUUCAUUAUAUGGAUUUGUUUGGUUCCAAUUUUGUUUUACUUGUAAAAAUUGCCUAUAAUUUGUGUUUGAUAUAU